UAUAGGUUUUCUAUUGUUUCCAUUGUUAUUGAACUCUAGCUUUAAUCCAUGAUGGUCUGAUAAAAUACAAGGUGUUAUUACAAAUUUCUUAUACUUGUUGAGGCUUGCUUUCUGACCAAGUUAAUGGGCAAUCUUGAAGAAGUUUCUGUGAUGUGCUGAGAAGAUGGUAUAUCCUUUUUUGUCUGGGUGAAAAUUCUGUAAAUAUCUGUUGAAUCCAUUUGAUUUGAUCAUUAGUUAGUUUGAUUGUUUCUCUAUCUAGUUUCUGUUUUCAUGAUUUGUCCUUUGGUUAGUGUGGUGUUUUGGAGUCUCCCACUAUUACUGUGGACAUAUAAGUGUAUUAUUUAAGCUUUAGUAAUGCUUCUUCUACAAAUGUAGGUGCCCUUGUGUUUGAAGCAAAAUAUUCAGAAUUGAAACAUCAUCUUGGUGGAUUUUUGAUAUGAUAUGUAUCCUUUUACUAUGAUAUGCAUCCUUUCCCAUAUCUUUUGAGUAAAUUCAGUUAAAAGUUUAUUUUUAUUAGAUAUCAGGAUGGCUUCUUUCAAUUUGCUUCUUGGGUCCAUUUCCUUGAAAAAGCUAUUUCCAGCCCUUCACUCUGAGGUAAUGUCCUCUUUUUUUGUUAAGAUGUGUUUCUUGUUUGCAGCAGUCCUACUUAUGCAUCUAUUCUGUUAGUCUGUGUUUGUUUUUUUUUUUUUUGAGGAAUUGAAUCCAUUAAUGUUGAGUGAUAUUAAUAACUAAUGUUUGCUAGUGCUGGUAAUUUUGAUUUUUAUGGUUGUAGUGAGUUUCUGUGUUUCUCUCCUUUUGGUUUUGCAGCAAUGGUGUUUUUUAUAUCUUAUUUGUUUUCUUGGGUGUGGUUAACUUUAUUUGCUUGGAGUUUUCCUUCUAGUGUACGUUAAAGCUGAGAAGCAUAGACAUUGGUGUUUUGGGGUCCACAGCACAGCCUCUUACUUGCUGUGGAGUCACUAGAGUCCUAGCACUCAGAAACCAUGUGGACUGGGCACCACCAUUUUGAAUCCUCUUCAAAUAUCCAUCUUUUAAAUGGAAAUAUUUUUUUUCUGGUGCUGGAGAAAGACACAGGACCUUUUUCCAACUAAGGACACGUUACACACUAUACUAUCUUCUCUCUCAUAAAUGAUAUUUCUACUUGUGUUUAGUAACUCUAGCAUUACUUCAAAGGGGAAUAAUUUUAAUCUUGCUAUACAACUGGGGAGACUCCUAAACAAACUAAGCACCUUUAAAAAGAAACCCAUAUCAGAGAGAGGGAAAAUGAAUUUCUCUUAAAGGUCAACCAGUAAUCUGUGUGGGCCACUCAUAUAAAAUUUUGUCUCUCUUCAGCUGCAUCCAUUUUUGAGGAAAAUUAAAGUGACAAAUGCUGCUGGAGAUGAAAUAAGCUUUGAUGAGAACAAGAAUGUCAUGGAAACAUAUGAUAUACAAAACUUUAUUGCAUAUAGUAAGCAAAAUUCAUUAAUACUUAAAGUGGGAGAAUUUGUCUUCAAGAGUCCACAAGACCAAGGCUUUUUCAUCAAUGAAGUUCUGAUUCAAUGGCCAAGCAAUUUUAAUCAGACUCCUCAAUCUGUAUGUACACAGAGCUGUGGCCCAGGAUUCUGGAAAGUUCUACAAGAAGAAAGACCCAUUUGCUGUUUUUCUUGUGUAUUUUGUCCGGAGUGGCACAUUUCCAACCAGACAGGUGAUUAUGGUAUGGUUCUGUCAGCCCUGGAACAUACCUUUAAUUCAAAAGCUUUCUGUGCACAGGAGUAAAUAAUGUUAACCCUUGGUCAAGAGGCAAAGCAAGAAGCCUGCUGACAAGGAUUAAAGAUGUCCAAAAGGGCUGGGCUGUGCCUGAACCCACAAGGGGACAUGAGGGACUGCAAGCCAUAACCCAUGUUUAUGAUCACCUCCAUUUUCCAAGAGACUUCCAGAGAAGAAGGACUCUCUGUAAAGGAGGUGGCUUUUUUGAUAUGAGAUUGAGAUUUUUGGAUUGUUCUUUAGCAAUUAGAUAAAGACAAUUUGUAUUCAUGUCUGUAGAAGGCAGAAGAGACGACAUGAAGGUGAUGAAGAAUUCAGUGACCUUCAAUGAUGUGCAUGUGAAAUUCAGCCAAGAAGAGUGGGCCUUGCUGGAACCUUCCCAGAAGCAACUCUACAAAGAUGUGAUGCUAGAGACCUGUGAAAACCUCACUGCUAUAGG